GUGGAGAUUGUGCCAUUAUACUUCAGCCUGGGUGACAGAGCGAAACUCCGUCUCAAAACAAAUAAAUGAAGGUACAUCUCUGCUUCCUUGUCUCUUGGGCCAUCAGUCACGUAGGCACUUUGGGCGAGGCACUGAGCAGCACCAAGGGCAUCUUCCGGCGUGUUCUGGGAGGCUUCCCCAUCUCCCUGAAAUGAGUUUAUAUAAUCUCCUAGUAAAAGUCAAUGCUGUUUCGCUGUGUGUUUCAUGGAGUUUGGUUCCCUGGCCAGCUGGUCUGUGGGAACCAGAGCAGUUUGUGCCUAGAUUCAUUGCUGUCUCUUUUCUGGGCGACCAGCACGUUAUGUGAUUAGAUGGGAAUAGAUAUGUUUUGGUAAAGGGAUCCCUGAUUUAGUUGCAAAAAGCCAAGCCAUUGGCUCCCUUUGACCUGUUCUUCUGGAAAUAACCUCUUCUUGAGGGGUGGGCACCACCUUGGUAUUACCUACACCCCAGUGUUCUUGGGCCACAGCUUUCUUGCCCAUGAGGUCUGCAGAGCUGCCGUCCUGGUUUCUGAGGAAGGUGAUUUUGUUGAUCAGAGUUCAGAUGGUGUUCUCCCAGAUAUUCGAAAAUGGAGGGCCUUGUCCAUCUCAAAGCGGUGGUUGGGGAUGCAACUGAUGUUGCCAGCCAGGCGUUGGGGAUCAGCCAAGGCUUUUGAUAAAGUUGGAAGAACUUCAAGCUCCUUUGGACCAACCUUCCUUCCUUCCUUCCUUUCUUUCUCUCUUCCCUCCUCCCUCCCUCCCUUCCUUCCCUCUUUCCUUCCUUUCCUCUUUCCUAAAUAGAGACAGGGUCUUUCUCUGUCCCUCAGGCUGGAGGGCAGUGGUGUACUUAUAGCUCACUGCAGCCUCAAACUCCUGGGCUCAGCGAUCCUUGCACUUCAGGCUCCGGAGAAGCUGGCACUAUAGGUGCAUACCACCAUGCCUGGCUAAUUUUGUUAUUUUUAAAAUUUUUUUGUAGAGACAGGGUCUUUCUAUGUUGCCCAUACUGGUCUCGAACUUCUGGGCUCAAGCAAUCCUGCCUCAGCCUCCCAAAGUGCUGGGAUUAUAGGCGUGAGCCACUGCACCCAGCCAGAUUUUUAUUUCUGUUCGGGGAGAGUGGCUUCCUUUCGUUUCUCCUGUCCAGGGUGUCAUUGCCUAUGCCAGCCUGAGUGUGUGGGCCUCCUGUGGGAAUCGCCACACUGUCCUGUUAGAGCAAAGCUUGCAGCCAACUCUUGCCCCCAGUGCUGCAAUGCAACGCAGAUAUUUUUUAGCUUUGUUUUAAAAAUAAUAUGGCAGAUGGCGAAGCAGGACCUGACUCUCGCCUUCGCCCUAUGUCUUUUCGUCUGCUCUUUCUCCACCGAGUCCUGUCCCUCAGCAUUUGCUCCUCCUGUUCCUUCUACUUCCAUCGCUCUGCAUUUUCACCAUUUGUCUUUUAGAAGACAUGGUUUAACAUUUUUUCUAAGUUAUAUAAAUAAUAUAAAAAUACAUUUCUGAAAGAAUAUAAAUAAUGCACAACUAUCUAGAGUACAAAAGACAAGUGUUCCCUCCUAGCGAUCCUGCUGUGAAGCGUUUGGUAUAUACCCUUCCAGGUAUUUUUUAUGCAUUUGCAUAUAGGCAGGCAUAUAUAUACACACACACAUGCCUAACGCACAUCUAUUUUUAACACAAAUGGGAUAAUUUAUACUGUUCAGAUUGUUUUGAGACUUUGCAUUCUUCAGUCAUGAAUAUAUGUCGACUUCCUCCUCUUUCACACUCUUCCAAAUCUUCCCCAUCCUUCAAGGUGUCAUUCAUUCUUUGAGAAAGCCCCUAGUGGCGCUGUCAAUAGUGAGUUUUGGUAGGUACGUUUCUAAUGUUCUUUAAAUUCCUGUAAUCCUCUUCCCCUCUGGACCGCUCACUUUGUCUAAUCUUAUGUUGUUCUUUGUUUAUUCAUUAGUUAAUUAAUUCCGUUGAGCUACACUCAGUUAUUUGGCCCCCAAGAAGUUUGUCGUCGGUGGAAGACACAGACAUACUAAACAUACCUUGCCCUGGAGGUUCAUGAGGGGGUGGUAGAUGGCAGGCUGUUGAUGCACAGUAGUUGAAUGAAAGAAUGAGCAAUGAGUAAGAAAUAGAAUUCUGUAGGUAUCAAGUAUAAUGAUGGCACAAUGGUGGGGUUAGUUACCUGCUGGGGUAUGUCAUGGAAGGUUUCAAAGAGGAGACGUUUGACUUGAGUUUUUAAGGAUGAGUUGAAGUUGAUCAGGAAGAUGGGCCUGUUAGGCAGCGGGAAUGGUGGUAUCAAUCGACAUGGUUUGCUCACAAUAUUCUCAUUGCUAGUUUCAUGGAUGUAUCCUGUGGCUUCUCCAUGAGAUAAUGAAGUUCUUGAAAGUGGGAGUGUCAUUUACACUCCUACCUGCAGACAGAGAUGACAAGACUAAGGCACAGAUAAGCACCUGAUACAGAGUAUAAAGCAUUGGCUGAAUGCGUGAAUCUUAGUUCCCGCUUUUCACCUUAGCAUCCUGACUACCGAUGCCCUGAACACACAUGGUGAAUUUGGCUGAAAUGAAGCAUUCUGUGCCUGCCCCACAAACCACCAAGGGACUGUGGGUUUAUUUGUCUCAAGAUGGUCAACACUGCUGUUUUCACAUUUUACUUGCUGUCAAAUAUAAAGAGAUAUCAUAUGUUGCCCGCCUCUGGUUUUCCUGAUGUCUCAAUUUAAGUGGUUUCCAAUUUGGGUAUGAAAUUAUCCAUCAGUCACAGAGAGAACUGGUGCCUUCAGCAGUGGCUGUUGGAAUAAGCCAGGGCUUAACUGGGGAAGCUAAUGGUGGAGGAGCAAGGGCUGGCUAGCAGAGGUUUGGCCCUGCUCCUCCAGGUCCCCUCUGGAAUACCACUUCUCCCCACUGGAUGGUGGGCUGUGUCUAGCCCAUUCCCCAAGAUCCAGUUUGGAUGACACUUCACCUAUUUAUUCAUUGGAUGCUAAUAGUGUCUUCCCUACGCCAGGGACUGACCUAGGCAUCAGGGAUGCAGAGAGCAGGCCUUGGUCACUGUCCCCUGGACUCACACAGUCUGCAGCCUGGUGGAGGAGACACCAUGUGAGCUGAGCUAUAAUGACUGAAUCCAGUCCCUCACCAGAUGCAGUAACCUACAAGUGUCUGUUGCUCAGAAUGUCUUUAUUUUGAUCAGUCACUUCCACAGAGGACUGCCCAAAGAGACGCCUCUGUCCAGCUCUCGGGUCUGUCUGUGUGGAGUACGAGGCGUGUAGCCCUGGUGAUCGUAGAGUGAUGUUAGAUGUCUCAGGGUCAGGUGUUGAAUAAUAUGGGCUCUGCUUGGGAAGGUGUUCCCCUUUUCCUUUUGGCCAUGCUGGUGAGGUCUGAGGUUGAUGCUAGCCCGGCUUUAACUCUUGGAGACCCUGACAAAGUGAGUGUGGGCCUCUGGGUCAUGGUGCCGUCGGCCACUGGGAAGUUCCGAGCUCUCAGAUGCGGCUGCAGUAGACUCCGCUCAGAAAGUCCAGACGCCUUGAGGCCAAGGCUCACCCCCAGAUCAGCUGCAGGAGAAUCUCUUCAAUGGGACCUGGGCACCUCUCACUGUUUUGCAUGAUUCUGAUGCUCCUGAGGUUGAGAACCACUAACACUUAGGAUUUAAUGACAUUUGGCUUUCAUCAGAUCCAGUUGCCUUCUAGUGAUACUGGCUUUCUGUUUGCUAGAGUGAUACAUACUUUCCUUUUUAAGUAAAUGUUAUAAGUGAAAAAAGAUGAAUGGUGUAAUCCCACCCCAGGGUCACUUGAGCCCAGGAGCUCCAGACUAGCCUGGGCAACAUAGUGAGACCCUGUCUUAAAAAAAAAUGCAUGGAUUGAAAAGGCAACGUUAUUCAGCAACAGUGCAAGUGGGAGGCGAGUGUAGCAAGAAUCCUGGUGGUGCUUUGUGAUGCACCGGGGUUUGGGGAACACUCCUCUAGAUUUUAUCCAUGGAUUGCAGUUUUAGCCCCCAUUAUUUUGGCGCCCAUAGACUCAUUGGGAAUGAUUUGACAUUAUGCCAAUGACUCAUUAAGUGCAAACAGCAGAAAUAGCUAAAUGAAACAAUUUAGAAAUAGCUAAAAGGUACAAUUUAGUGAUUGUAUCUUUCUCUGUGUAACAAAUUGUCCCAACACUGAGAGGAAAAAGGACAUUUGGCAGUGACAGCAUUUACCAUCUCACAGUUUCUGUGGGCCUGGAGUCCUCGUGCCACUCAGCUGGUUCUCUCUCCAGGGUCUCUCCCAGGCUGCAACCACAGCCUCAGCCGGUGACUGCAGACACCUCAGGGCUCUCCUAGGGAAGGAUCUGCGUCCAAGCUAACCCGUGUGGUUGUUGGCAGGAUUCAGUUUCUUACGGACUCUUGGACUGAGGGCCUCAGUUACUCUCCAGCUGUUGACUGGAGGCCACCCUCGGUUUCUUGCCUAUCCAGGCCUCUUCACUGCGGCCAAAGAAAGCAAAAGAGAGAGACCAACUAAAUGGGAAUCAGGGUGUUUUGUAGUCUAAGCUUUAGAGGUAGCAUUCUGGCCGGGAGCAGUGGCUCACGCCUGUAAUUCUAGCAUUUUGGGAGGCUAAGGUGGGGGUGCAUUUGAGGUCAGGAGUUCGAGACCAGCCUGGCCAACAUGGUGAAGCCCCAUCUCUACUAAAAACACAAAAAUUAGCCAGGCGGUAGUUACACACGCCUGUGAUCCCAGCUACUCAGGAGGCUGAGGCAGGAGAAUCACUUGAGCCCGGGAGGCGGAGGUUGCAGUGAGCCAAGAUCGACCCACUACAUUCCAGUCUGGGUGACAGAGCGAGACUCCGUCUCAAAAAAAAAAAAAAA